rnacentral:misc_RNA from 1 species
AGCUACAGAGAAAGAAAAAUAUCAUGAAUUGCUGGUAUCUGGACCACCAGAUUAUUCUGAUAUUCAAAUUUAAUUUAUUUUACUUGAGUGGUAUAUAUUUAAGGCAAUUAAAAGCCUUUACUAAGCAUGAGACUCUGCCACAAAGUAAAAUUUUCUUUGGGUUGCUGAAAAUGUUGGAGGGAAAAGCGGUAGUGCGAGAGACUGACAUGCCAGAGUUGAUGCAGAGCCAUGUGAUGGAACUAGCUUACCAAGCUCUUGAUUUACAUGAGGUCUCUGAUUGCCAAUCUAUUGCUCGUUACAUCAAACAGAAGUUUGAUGAAGCUCAUGGACCUGCAUGGCAUUGUGUGGUUGGCAAAGACUUUGGUUCUUGCAUCACCCAUUUAUGUGGAAGUUUCAUUUUCUUCCGGGUGGAGAUGUUGGAGUUUCUGAUCUUUAAAGAUGGCAAGGACUUCACUGAAAGCAAGGAAGCUAUUGGGAUGGUGCAGAAGCCCAAGAAAUGUGACUAAUAUAUAUAAAUUCACAUUGAAAAUAAGCCUCUCUUACUAUGCCUAAAAGGAAAACCUCUUCAGUACUGCUUCUGCUUCAACAAGUUCAAAAAAUUCAGUGGCUAGCAUAAAUAGGAUUAACAUAUAUGUUCAGCAUGUUCAAUCUUGGAAGAAUAAUAAUUGUUCUAGACUAGAUUAAUUACUUAAAAAUCUCUCUCUCAUUUUCUUGUCUGUCUGAAAUUGUUGGAUUUGAAGGAAGAAAAAAACUAAGAACAGUU